UGAGAACUGAAUUCCAUAGGUUG
rnacentral:miRNA from 2 species